ACACCAGCACCUCAAGUGGUCAGGAGGAUUAUUGGGCCUAAAGCAUCCGUAGCCUGUUCUAUAAGUUUCCGGUUAAAUCCACUAGCUCAACUAGUGGGCUGCCGAAAAUACUGUAGAACUAGGGAGUGGGAGAGGUAGACGGUAUUCGGUAGGAAGGGGUCAAACCCUUUUAUCUAUUGAUGACCACCUGUGGCGAAGGCGGUCUACCAGAACACGUUCGACGGUGAGGGAUGAAAGCUGGGGGAGCAAACCGGAUUAGAAACCCGAGUAGUCC
rnacentral:rRNA from 1 species